rnacentral:rRNA from 1 species
AUAACGGUCCUAAGGUAGCGAAAUUCCUUGUCAGGUAAGUUCUGACCCGCACGAAAGGUGUAACGAUUUGGGCGCUGUCUCGGCAGCAGACUCGGUGAAAUCUUAGUACCUGUGAAAAUGCAGGUUACCCGCAACUAGACGGAAAGACCCCAUGGAGCUUUACUGCAGCCUGAUAUUGAAUUCUGGUCAUACAUGUACAGGAUAGGUGGGAGACAAAGAGACGUGCACGCCAGUGUACGAGGAGUCGACGUUGGGAUACCACUCUUGUGUGACCGGGGUUCUAACCUGGUAUCGAGAACAGGUACGGGGAGAGUGUCAGGUGGGCAGUUUGACUGGGGCGGUCGCCUCCCAAAGAGUAACGGAGGCGCCCAAAGGUUCCCUCAGCGCGGCCGGAAAUCGCGCGAAGAGUGUAAAGGCAGAAGGGAGCUUGACUGAGAGCCAAACACGGCGAUCAGGUACGAAAGUAGGGCUUAGUGAUCCGGUGGCAUCCAAGUGGAAGGGCCAUCGCUCAACGGAUAAAAGCUACCCUGGGGAUAACAGGCUAAUCUCUCCCAAGAGUCCAUAUCGACGGGGAGGUUUGGCACCUCGAUGUCGGCUCAUCACAUCCUGGGGCUGAAGUCGGUCCCAAGGGUUGGGCUGUUCGCCCAUUAAAGUGGUACGUGAGCUGGGUUCAGAACGUCGUGAGACAGUUCGGUCCCUAUCCAUCGCGGGCGCAAGAGAUUUGAAGGGGGCUGCUCCUAGUACGAGAGGACCGGAGUGGACGAACCAAUGGUGUACCAAUUAUCUCGCCAGAGGUAUAGUUGGGUAGCUACGUUCGGAAAGGAUAAACGCUGAAAGCAUCUAAGCGUGAAACCAGCCUUAAGAUGAGAUCUCUCAUAGAGUAAUCUAGUAAGACACCUUGGAGAAGACGAGGUUGAUAGGUCGGGAGUGUAAGUACAGUAAUGUAUUCAGCGGACCGAUACUAAUAUGUCGAGGGCUUGACUUA